rnacentral:tRNA from 2 species
GGGCCCGUAGCUCAGCCAGGUUUCCUGAUCAGGACUGAGAGAGCGGCAGGCUCAUAACCUGACGGUCCCCGGUUCGAAUCCGGGCGGGCCCACCA